GACGAACGCUGGCGGCGUGCCUAAUACAUGCAAGUCGAGCGGACGAAUCGAAAGCUUGCUUUUGAUUCGUUAGCGGCGGACGGGUGAGUAACACGUGGGCAACCUGCCCUGUAGACGGGGAUAACACCGAGAAAUCGGUGCUAAUACCGGAUAACACGAAAUGUCGCAUGACGUUUCGUUGAAAGACGGCGCAAGCUGUCGCUACAGGAUGGGCCCGCGGGGCAUUAGCUAGUUGGUGAGGUAACGGCUCACCAAGGCGACGAGGCGUAGCCGACCUGAGAGGGUGAUCGGCCACACUGGGACUGAGACACGGCCCAGACUCCUACGGGAGGCAGCAGUAGGGAAUCUUCCGCAAUGGACGAAAGUCUGACGGAGCAACGCCGCGUGAGUGAAGAAGGCCUUCGGGUCGUAAAGCUCUGUUGUUAGGGAAGAACAAGUAACGCAGUAACUGGCGUUACCGUGACGGUACCUAACGAGAAAGCCACGGCUAACUACGUG
rnacentral:rRNA from 1 species